rnacentral:tRNA from 1 species
CAGCAAUUAGUUUAAUUAUAAAAUUAUAAUUUUGGGGAUUAUUGAUGGGUAUAUUUACCUAUUGCUGA